GCCCAGGUGGUGAAAUUGGUAGACACGCUAGCUUGAGGGGCUAGUGUUCGCAAGGACGUGCAGGUUCAACUCCUGUCCUGGGCACCA
rnacentral:tRNA from 2 species